GAUGAAGAACGCAGCGAAAUGCGAUAAGUAGUGUGAAUUGCAGAAUUCAGUGAAUCAUCGAAUCUUUGAACGCACAUUGCGCCCGCCAGUAUUCUGGCGGGCAUGCCUGUUCGAGCGUCAUUUCAACCCUCAAGCCCUCGGGUUUGGUGUUGGGGAUCGGCGAGCCUUUCUGGCAAGCCGGCCCCGAAAUCUAGUGGCGGUCUCGCUGCAGCCUCCAUUGCGUAGUAGUAAAACCCUCGCAACUGGAACGCGGCGCGGCCAAGCCGUUAAACCCCCAACUUCUGAAUGUUGACCUCGGAUCAGGUAGGAAUACCCGCUGAACUUAAGCAUAUCAAUAAGCGGAGGA
rnacentral:misc_RNA from 1 species